rnacentral:rRNA from 1 species
GGGUUGUGAGGUUAAGCGACUAAGCGUACACGGUGGAUGCCCUGGCAGUCAGAGGCGAUGAAGGACGUGCUAAUCUGCGAUAAGCGUCGGUAAGGUGAUAUGAACCGUUAUAACCGGCGAUUUCCGAAUGGGGAAACCCAGUGUGUUUCGACACACUAUCAUUAACUGAAUCCAUAGGUUAAUGAGGCGAACCGGGGGAACUGAAACAUCUAAGUACCCCGAGGAAAAGAAAUCAACCGAGAUUCCCCCAGUAGCGGCGAGCGAACGGGGAGCAGCCCAGAGCCUGAAUCAGUGUGUGUGUUAGUGGAAGCGUCUGGAAAGGCGUGCGAUACAGGGUGACAGCCCCGUACACAAAAAUGCACAUAUUGUGAGCUCGAUGAGUAGGGCGGGACACGUGGUAUCCUGUCUGAAUAUGGGGGGACCAUCCUCCAAGGCUAAAUACUCCUGACUGACCGAUAGUGAACCAGUACCGUGAGGGAAAGGCGAAAAGAACCCCGGCGAGGGGAGUGAAAAAGAACCUGAAACCGUGUACGUACAAGCAGUGGGAGCCUCUUUUAUGGGGUGACUGCGUACCUUUUGUAUAAUGGGUCAGCGACUUAUAUUCUGUAGCAAGGUUAACCGAAUAGGGGAGCCGAAGGGAAACCGAGUCUUAACUGGGCGUUAAGUUGCAGGGUAUAGACCCGAAACCCGGUGAUCUAGCCAUGGGCAGGUUGAAGGUUGGGUAACACUAACUGGAGGACCGAACCGACUAAUGUUGAAAAAUUAGCGGAUGACUUGUGGCUGGGGGUGAAAGGCCAAUCAAACCGGGAGAUAGCUGGUUCUCCCCGAAAGCUAUUUAGGUAGCGCCUCGUGAAUUCAUCUCCGGGGGUAGAGCACUGUUUCGGCAAGGGGGUCAUCCCGACUUACCAACCCGAUGCAAACUGCGAAUACCGGAGAAUGUUAUCACGGGAGACACACGGCGGGUGCUAACGUCCGUCGUGAAGAGGGAAACAACCCAGACCGCCAGCUAAGGUCCCAAAGUCAUGGUUAAGUGGGAAACGAUGUGGGAAGGCCCAGACAGCCAGGAUGUUGGCUUAGAAGCAGCCAUCAUUUAAAGAAAGCGUAAUAGCUCACUGGUCGAGUCGGCCUGCGCGGAAGAUGUAACGGGGCUAAACCAUGCACCGAAGCUGCGGCAGCGACGCUUAUGCGUUGUUGGGUAGGGGAGCGUUCUGUAAGCCUGUGAAGGUGUGCUGUGAGGCAUGCUGGAGGUAUCAGAAGUGCGAAUGCUGACAUAAGUAACGAUAAAGCGGGUGAAAAGCCCGCUCGCCGGAAGACCAAGGGUUCCUGUCCAACGUUAAUCGGGGCAGGGUGAGUCGACCCCUAAGGCGAGGCCGAAAGGCGUAGUCGAUGGGAAACAGGUUAAUAUUCCUGUACUUGGUGUUACUGCGAAGGGGGGACGGAGAAGGCUAUGUUGGCCGGGCGACGGUUGUCCCGGUUUAAGCGUGUAGGCUGGUUUUCCAGGCAAAUCCGGAAAAUCAAGGCUGAGGCGUGAUGACGAGGCACUACGGUGCUGAAGCAACAAAUGCCCUGCUUCCAGGAAAAGCCUCUAAGCAUCAGGUAACAUCAAAUCGUACCCCAAACCGACACAGGUGGUCAGGUAGAGAAUACCAAGGCGCUUGAGAGAACUCGGGUGAAGGAACUAGGCAAAAUGGUGCCGUAACUUCGGGAGAAGGCACGCUGAUAUGUAGGUGAAGUCCCUUGCGGAUGGAGCUGAAAUCAGUCGAAGAUACCAGCUGGCUGCAACUGUUUAUUAAAAACACAGCACUGUGCAAACACGAAAGUGGACGUAUACGGUGUGACGCCUGCCCGGUGCCGGAAGGUUAAUUGAUGGGGUCAGCGCAAGCGAAGCUCUUGAUCGAAGCCCCGGUAAACGGCGGCCGUAACUAUAACGGUCCUAAGGUAGCGAAAUUCCUUGUCGGGUAAGUUCCGACCUGCACGAAUGGCGUAAUGAUGGCCAGGCUGUCUCCACCCGAGACUCAGUGAAAUUGAACUCGCUGUGAAGAUGCAGUGUACCCGCGGCAAGACGGAAAGACCCCGUGAACCUUUACUAUAGCUUGACACUGAACAUUGAGCCUUGAUGUGUAGGAUAGGUGGGAGGCUUUGAAGUGUGGACGCCAGUCUGCAUGGAGCCGACCUUGAAAUACCACCCUUUAAUGUUUGAUGUUCUAACGUGGACCCGUGAUCCGGGUUGCGGACAGUGUCUGGUGGGUAGUUUGACUGGGGCGGUCUCCUCCUAAAGAGUAACGGAGGAGCACGAAGGUUGGCUAAUCCUGGUCGGACAUCAGGAGGUUAGUGCAAUGGCAUAAGCCAGCUUGACUGCGAGCGUGACGGCGCGAGCAGGUGCGAAAGCAGGUCAUAGUGAUCCGGUGGUUCUGAAUGGAAGGGCCAUCGCUCAACGGAUAAAAGGUACUCCGGGGAUAACAGGCUGAUACCGCCCAAGAGUUCAUAUCGACGGCGGUGUUUGGCACCUCGAUGUCGGCUCAUCACAUCCUGGGGCUGAAGUAGGUCCCAAGGGUAUGGCUGUUCGCCAUUUAAAGUGGUACGCGAGCUGGGUUUAGAACGUCGUGAGACAGUUCGGUCCCUAUCUGCCGUGGGCGCUGGAGAACUGAGGGGGGCUGCUCCUAGUACGAGAGGACCGGAGUGGACGCAUCACUGGUGUUCGGGUUGUCAUGCCAAUGGCACUGCCCGGUAGCUAAAUGCGGAAGAGAUAAGUGCUGAAAGCAUCUAAGCACGAAACUUGCCCCGAGAUGAGUUCUCCCUGACCCUUUAAGGGUCCUGAAGGAACGUUGAAGACGACGACGUUGAUAGGCCGGGUGUGUAAGCGCAGCGAUGCGUUGAGCUAACCGGUACUAAUGAACCGUGAGGCUUAACCUUACAACGCCGAAGCUGUU